rnacentral:rRNA from 1 species
UACGUAGGGGGCAAGCGUUAUCCGGAUUUACUGGGUGUAAAGGGAGCGUAGACGGCAAUGCAAGUCUGGAGUGAAAGGCGGGGGCCCAACCCCCGGACUGCUCUGGAACCUGUAUAGCUGGAGUGCAGGAGAGGUAAGUGGAAUUCCUAGUGUAGCGGUGAAAUGCGUAGAUAUUAGGAGGAACACCAGUGGCGAAGGCGGCUUACUGGACUGUAACUGACGUUGAGGCUCGAAAGCGUGGGGAGCAAACAGG